rnacentral:lncRNA from 1 species
GUGAGACUGUGAAUUCUUCAAAAGCAGGUACUGUGUUUAAUGAAGUGUGCCCAGGACUUUGCUCAGUGACUGGAUGACACAGUAGGAGUAACAAGAAAGUUCACAUGGGUGAACCGUGGUAGGUGGACAUCGUCUCUCUCACCUCUUCCCAAAUCAAGGAUGAAGUACAUCUUCAUAAAUCCUCAUGUGAAUUAUUUUGCUACCUCUAGAAGCAUUUUCUAAAACAAGGUGCAGCAAUCAGUUGAGUGAAUUUGUCACCAGAGCUUAUGUUUUCUGAAAGAACCCUAUCCUCAGGCAGUUGUUCCUAAGAGAUUCCACAAAUAUGUCAGCGCUGGAAAUGAUCCUUUGGCUUUGAACUAUGUGAAGACUGCAGAAGGACUGGUUGGUAAGCACCCACAUCCUGGGGUGAGAAUCACAUCCAGUUUAUACCUCCCUGUGCACACUUGUAUAAAACAACUAUAAGACACACGAGAGAUCUGGAAGCCAGUUCCUCAUAAGUAAGAAUUGGUCAGGCUGCAUUUGUAUCCUGGGUCCACAAGACAUCGUUUCCUUAAAACCAAUCCCCCUGAUUUUGCUAAGAUGAAGAAACUGAGGUCCAGAGAAGUUAAACGACCUUCCUAAGAUUACACAGCUUAGUAAGUGGCAGAACCACAGCUGGAAGCCAGGUCCUUCCUCACGCAAGUCCUGGCUCAUUCAUUCCUCUUCCAAAGACUUGCUGAGCACCUUCUAGGUGCCAGAUGCGGUGCUGGCUCCUGGGGACAUGGGAGUGAACAGGCCAGGCGUGGCCCUGAACCAUCAAAUAGACAACCACAGAAAUAACAACAACAAAGACAAAACCGGGCCCUUCCACACAGUAGCUGGAACACAAAGGAAGAUCAGCCAAGCCUCAACAUAAUCUCAUAAAAAUUCUUCAAAUAUCCCAUUGUUAUGGAUUCAUACAUCAGGAAAGCAGAUGCCAAGAACCUGAACACCUUCUACUGGUAACAUAUAUUUUGGCGAGCCAGCCUGGAGACAAGACCACUAUGGGCAACUUCCUGUCUAUUCUACCUGGUGUCACUGUGGACAACUUCCUAUCUAUUCCACCCGAUUCACCGCUUGGCUACAUCCUCCACCAUUGGGAUGAAUUUGACCCUAACAAUCUAAAGAAAAGGCAUAUGAUUUUUUACUGCAAUAUUGUUUGACACAAUUAUGAGCUGCCCAAUCCGGAACAAUGGGCAGUCAAUGGUAGCCUUAAUUAUGAUACCAUCCUGUAUCUAGACCUAUUUUACAAGAGGCAGGGCAAAUGGUCAGAAGUCCCACAUAUACAGGCCUACAUGACCCUAUACGAAGACCUAAGAAUCUAGGAAACUCCCAGAACCCAUCCCCCGAAGGAAAGUUCUGGGGCAGAACUAGAUAUUAUAGAUGAACCCCCUUUUACAAGGGAUACCUGUCUCUCAGAGUGAGCAGUGACUGUCCCCAUAUAACCCCUCACCAAGUGCUCCUGAGGCUGAAACCCAGGGGCAAACAUGGGGAACCCUACUAAGUCCCCCUCACACUUGGAGGGGAACACUGUAUUCAACUCUCUAUCCAGCCCUGCUACUCUCAGAGAAAUAGCAGGGGCUGAGGGGCCAAUCCUAGUGUGGGUCCCCUUCUCUAUGAUUGAUAUACAACAAUGUAAGGAAAAGCUAGGAAGCUAUUCUGAGGAUUCCGGGAAGUUUGCAGAUGGGUUCCAAACUUUGACCUUAGCCUUUGAUCUCUCAUGGAGAGACGUUCAAUUCACUCUAGCAACCUGUUGCACCUCCUCGGAAAAGGAACGAAUCUUUGAGGCUGCCCUCCGAGAAGUGGACGAAUUAUUCACCCAAAACCGUAAAGGCAGUCACCCAGGCCCAGCCACAGUUCCCACUACGCAUCCUAAUUGAGACCAAGACACCCCCGCAGGAAGGAACAACUGGGCUAAAUUUCUUGAGGCUCUUGGAGGAAUGAGAAAGGGAAUAACUAAGGCAGUAAAUUAUGAUAAAGUAAGGCAGAUUACACAAGGCAGGGAGGAAAACCCAGCUGUGUUUUACGGCAGGCUGCGGGAAGCCUUUAAAAAAUAUAUACUAAUUUGGUCCCUUCCUCUCCUGAAGGCAAGUUAUUAAUGGCACAACGUUUCAUUAGCCAAUCCACACCAGACAUUAGACGUAAGCUCCAAAAGCUACACAUGGGGCCACAAACUAACCAAAAUCAGCUUCUUGGUACUGCCUUCAUGGUGUAUAACAAUCGUGACCUGGAGGAAGGAGAAGGGAAACAGAGUAAAGAAAAACGGCAAGCCAAAAUUAUGUUAGCCAUCACUGGUGAUGCCCUAAAUGCACAAAGAUUGUCCAAGGGAAACUCAAAGGGCCAUAAGGAUAAUGCCAGCAAAGGCUCUUGCUUCAAAUGCAAUAAAAGUGCGAUUGGGCACAGGAAUCCACUAAGCCCCCGCCAGUCCCCUGCCGUCAAUGUAAAAGCACCAGUUGUGGCUCCUGGCCCUGGAGAAUUGACUGUCCCUGCUCCCACCAAGGGGCUCAGUCAGUCAAAACUCUGGCAGUGCACAAGGAGGAAUCAGAUGAAGACUGAAGGGGCCUGGGGCCUUCCUCACUGCCCCGUCUAGGAACAUUGUAAUUACUACUGAGGAACCCUGGGUAACUCUGGACAUCAUGGCCACCCAAAUUCAGUUUUUAUGUGAUACCAAGGUGAAUUAUUCUGUACAACUGCUUAUGCAGGAAAACUUUCCUCCCGGUCCAUGAGUGAUAUUGGAUGGAAGGGAAGCCACAAACAAGAUUCUUACUCCUCCUUUGGUUUGUCAAUUUGAGAAACAAAUCUUCCAACAGGAAUUUUUAGUAGUACCAAGCUGCCCAAUUCCCCUGUGGGAAAGAGAUAUUAUGGUGAAAAUAGUGACACUACUGCAAUUUAAGCAAUAUUAGCAGGUGAAACUGCUAAUAGUAAGAAAUAAGGCAAUGUCCCAGACCAUGUCAAUAAACAGGUUAACCCACUGGCAUGGUAUACUGGAAACCCAGGGAAGGCUAAAACAGCAGUGCCAGUCAAAAUACAGCUUAAAGACCCCAGCCAUUUUCCCAAUGGAAAACAAUACCCAGUUGAACAGGAAGCAAGCAAAGGUCUAGCUCCCAUAGUUGAGAUAUUACUUACCCAUGGACUCUUAAAACCCUGCAAUUCUCCCUGCAAUACCCCCAUCUUACCUGUUCUCAAGCCUGGGGGGAAUACCAGCUAGUACAGAACCUCAGAAUAAUGAAUGAGGCUGUUAUCCCCGUCCACCCAUUGGUGGCAGAUCCAUAUGCCCUCCUGGCUCAGGUGCCAGGGCAUGCAAAAUGGUUCUCAGUCCUAGACCUUUCUUCUCCAUUCCUCUGGCCCCGAGCCCCCCAGUACCUUUUUGCUUUCGAAUGGGAAAAUCCUAAUACCAGAUAAAAACAAUACACUUGGACAGUGCUUCCUCAGGGCUUUCGGGAUAGCCCCCACUUCUUUGCCUGAGCAUUAGAGCGGGAUCUGAGGGAUUUCAAGUUAGAAAAUGGAGGUAUUCUUCAGUAUGGGGAUGACCUUGUGUGUAGCCCAACCUAGGAGGUUUCUGACCAAAAUACUAUAAAAACUUUGAAUUUCCUGGCAGACAGAGGAUACAAAGUGUCCAAAAAGAAGGCUCAGAUUACCCUCCAAUGGGUCCACUAUUUAGGAUAUGUCUUAACACCCGGAACCCGGCAAAUAUCCCCAGAAGGAGUGCAAGCUAUAUGUGGUUUGGCCGCGUGCACCACCCCCAGCCCCCACCCUGACCCACCUCCAAGCAGCAGCUUUGUUCCUUUUUGGGGAUGGCCGGGCUUUGGAGAAUAUGAGUACCAAAUUUUGGGCUCAUAGCAAAGCCCCUAUAUGAAGCAACAAGGGGGCCUGAAAAUGAGCUAAUGGAAUGGACCCCGGAAAUGAGGAAAGCCUUUGCCAAGUUAAAACAGGUUCUCACCCAGGCUCCUGCUCUUGGUAUCCCAGACCUAAUUAAGGCCUUCUCCUUGUAUGUAGCAGAGAAGAGGGGCAUAGCUGUGGGAGUGCUAGCCCAGAAAUUAGGAUCAGAACCCAGACCAACCGCCUACUUCUCAAAAAAGUUGGACGGAGUGGCCUCAGGAUGGCCAAGUUGCCUGCGGGCAAUAGCAGCCACUGCUGUUAGUGGAGGAAGCCACUAAAAUCACCCUAGGGCAACCACUGGAAGUUCUAACGCUCCAUCAGGUAAAGUUAGUCUUAGAAAUAAAGGGACACAUCUGGAUGACAGGGGAAAUGUUAACUAAAUACCAGCCCAUGCUCCUAGACAAUCCAGAUAUAACUCUUAAAACCUGCAACACUUUAAAUCCAGCUUCAUUGCUGCCCACAGGCCCAAUAAUUGAUCAUUCCUGUGAGCAGGUCAUUGCACAUACAUAUGUUAGCCAGCCUGAUUUAAAAGAUGAGGCUCUCCCAGAUUCUGAAGCUGACCGGCUCACAGACGGCAGUAGUUCUUUGUCGAAUGGGGAGCACAGAGCUGGAUAUGCAGCAGUAAAUCAUGACACAAUUAUUGAAGCCCAGCCAGUGCCCCCUGGCACAUCAGCACAAAAGGCUAAAAUCAUUGAUCUUACUCAAGCAUUAAUGUUGGGACAAGGGAAAAAACUUAACAUCUAUACAGAUUCUAAAUAUGCAUUCCUUGUGGUUCAUGCUCAUACCGCCAUCAGGAAAGAAAGGGGAUUACUUACUAGCAAGCACUCCCCUAUAGAGCAUGGACCUGAAAUUCUGCAGCUAUUGAAGGCAAUACACCUGCCAAAGGCCAUAGCUAUCAUUCAUUGUAGGGGGCAUCAAAGGGACUUAACCCCUAUAGCACAAGGGAAUGGAAAGGCUGACGGAAGCCAAAGCAAAAGCCCUCAGCGUGCAAUCCCAACAGAUCCUAGCACUGCUUCCUUUCUACAAUUCCCCAGUAGAACCCAAAUACACACCACAGGAAGAACAGCUAAUAAAAAAAGCAAGGGAGACAAAAACAAGGAUCCUGGUGGCAUAUGGAGCCAAAAAUAUAUCUCCCUCAGGCAGCCCAGUGGAGAGUUAUAAAAGCCCUGCAUGACUCUUUCCAUGUGGGGAGGGAUGCGGCUCUGGCCAUGGUAAACAAGUUCUUUACUGGGUUUAACUCAGCUUCAAUGGCUAAGCAGGUCUGUCAAGCCUGCUCACUGUGUGCAUUUAACAAUCCAGGCAUCAAAAUGCCCCCUCUAAUAAAACCAGUCCAAAGGAGGGGAACUUAUCCAGGGGAAGACUGGCAGUUAGACGUCAUCCAUAUGCCAGCUUGCAGAGGAUACAAGCUUUUGUUAAUACUAAUAGAUACUUUUAGGUUGGGUCAAAGGUUACCCCAGAAAAGGCUAAUGAGGUUCUAAGGUCCUCUUAAAAGAAAUAAUUCCCCAGUUUGGGUUACCUCAGGGUCUCCAAAGUGAUAAUGGCUAAUCCUUUAUCUCCCAAAUAACUCAAGGGGUUGCUAAGGCUCUUGGAAUAAAAUACUAUUUACAUUCAGCCUGGAGGCCCCAAUCCUCUGGAAAAGUGGAAAGGGUUAACCAAACUCUAAAAUAAGCACUAGCUAAACUAUGUCAGGAAACAUCAGAAACUUGGGUUAGCUUAUUGCUCACAGCCCUUUUAAGAAUUUGUAAUACCCCUAGCUCAAAAAUUAACAGAAGCCCAUAUAAAAUGUUAUACAGAAGGCCAUUCUUAACUAAUGAUUUAAUUAUUGACCCAGAAAGAGUUGGUGUAAUUAAAUACCUAGUCAACCCAGAACAAUUCCAGCGGGUUUACAAGAGUUUGGAAUUCAAAGGCUCCUCACACUUGGAACUAACCAGCAACCCAAAAUCAGGCCAGGAGAUAGGGUACUUGUUAAAACAUGGAAUGAGGGAUCACCUGCCCAACAAUUACAACCCCAAUAGAAGGGACUUUUUUCAGUAAUACUGGCCACGUCUUCUGUGGUCAAAGUACUAGUAUUAGAUAGCUGGAUACAUCUUUCAAGGAUCAAACCAUCAAUACCAGAAGCUCCAGACCAGGAACCUGAAGUUCCCAUCAGCCAGUACACCUGUGAACCAGUGGAGGACCUGAAGUACCUGUUUAAAAGAUAGCCAAAAGAUAAGUAAAUGCCUACCAACUUUCUUUGGUGUCUUUGUUGCAUAGUUACUGUGGGCUGGAAAAUAGUAGCCAUUUUUAUCUUUGCAGUUUAAUUGCCUUCUUCCAAAUAGAUAAAAAUCACUUCCUUUGUAAUAAUUAAACAGAAUUUAAAAAAUACAUUUCUAUGACAAAUAUUCCUGAUGGCAUAAGUAUCCACCCCAAGGUUCCCAUUAAAUCUUUUAACCUAAAGUAUUUCCUCUCACCUAGAGAUCAUCGAGCUGUGUGACAAGGGUGCCAGCCACUCCAGGUGAAGACACCACCCCAGGCCAUCAAGGAUCUUCCCUACCUUCACUAAACAGAGCAGGGUGAAAGUUGUGUGAUCCCCAAUAGGUAGGGACUACACCCCAAGUCAGCAGGAAGCAGUUACAGAAGAAAGACCAUUGGUCCCUCUGCUUCCCAUAAAGAUUUAUGGGGAUCACAGCUUUCACGGGGGAGAUGAGGCAAGAGAAUAGGGCAUGCAGGCAGGGUACUUGAGGCCAAUCCACGCUGACUUCCUAGAACUGAAUUAAAUGAAAGCUCCUCAGCAAUGACAGGAAUGUGAAUGGCUUUGUAACUUCUUCCUCUCCAUUAAUGCUAUUUCCACUUUGUAACUUCACUUUCAUCCUCUCCAUUUACAUAGAUCACACACCAAGUAACAUCCUCUCCAUUUACAGUAGGGCGCAUUCCGAGUCAAUGACUCUGACUGCACUUCGUUCUCCUCAUUUACAUAGAACAUUCGCCAAGUAACCAAUGGGAAACCUCUAGAGUAUUGAAACUCCAGAAAAUUCCGUAAGUGGGGCUCUUGAGCGUCUACACUCGGGUCGCUCCCACACUGUGGCGUGUACUUUUAUUCUCAAUAAAUUCCCGCUUUUGCUUUCCUCGUUC